rnacentral:rRNA from 1 species
GACGAACGCUGGCGGCGCGCCUAACACAUGCAAGUCGAACGAGCGAGAGAGAGCUUGCUUUCUCGAGCGAGUGGCGAACGGGUGAGUAACGCGUGAGGAACCUGCCUCAAAGAGGGGGACAACAGUUGGAAACGACUGCUAAUACCGCAUAAGCCCACGACCCGGCAUCGGGUAGAGGGAAAAGGAGCAAUCCGCUUUGAGAUGGCCUCGCGUCCGAUUAGCUAGUUGGUGAGGUAACGGCCCACCAAGGCGACGAUCAGUAGCCGGACUGAGAGGUUGAACGGCCACAUUGGGACUGAGACACGGCCCAG